GGCCUCGUAGCUCAGUUGGCUAGAGCGUUGGCUGUACUGAAGCCUUCCCUUUACUGGCGUGGGUUCAAAUCUCACAGAGGCCG
rnacentral:tRNA from 1 species